ACUAUGGAGAGUUUGAUCCUGGCUCAGGAUGAACGCUAGCGGGAGGCCUAAUACAUGCAAGUCGAGGGGUAGUUUUGAUUUAUCAGAAUUAGACCGGCGAACGGGUGCGUAACGCGUAUGCAACUUACCUCAAACAGGGGGAUAGCCCAGAGAAAUUUGGAUUAAUACCGCAUAAUAAUAUUUGAUCGCAUGGUUGAAUGUUUAAAGAUUUAUUGGUUUGAAAUGGGCAUGCGUUAGAUUAGCUAGUUGGUGAGGUAAUGGCUCACCAAGGCUACGAUCUAUAGCGGGUCUGAGAGGAUGAUCCGCCACACUGGUACUGAGACACGGACCAGACUCCUACGGGAGGCAGCAGUGAGGAAUAUUGGACAAUGGGCGCAAGCCUGAUCCAGCCAUGCCGCGUGAGCGAUGAAGGCCUUAGGGUUGUAAAGCUCUUUCACCGGUGACGAUGAUGACGGUAGCCGGAGAAGAAGCCCCGGCUAACUCCGUGCCAGCAGCCGCGGUAAUACGGAGGGGGCAAGCGUUGUUCGGAAUUACUGGGCGUAAAGGGCGCGUAGGCGGUCCGUUGCGUCAGGCGUGAAAGCCCCGGGCUCAACCCGGGAACUGCGCUUGAUACGGGCGGGCUAGAAGUCGGCAGAGGAUGGUGGAAUUCCCAGUGUAGAGGUGAAAUUCGUAGAUAUUGGGAAGAACACCGAAGGCGAAGGCAGCCAUCUGGGCCGAUCUUGACGCUGAGGCGCGAAAGCGUGGGGAGCAAACAGGAUUAGAUACCCUGGUAGUCCACGCCGUAAACGAUGAGUGCUAGAUAUCGGGAGUUUUUCUUUCGGUUUCGUAGUUAACACGUUAAGCACUCCGCCUGGGGAGUACGAUCG
rnacentral:rRNA from 1 species